CGAACGAGCUCAAAGUUACAGCUAUCAACGGUUCUCACAGAGACUGGUUUAGCCUGCGGCAAUACACGAGAAGUAAGAGAGAGUAAGGCCAGGAUGCGAACGAAAAGCUCUUAGGCGAACAGACCCUUAGUUGGCCAUCUUCCAUCAGAAGGGAUGUCUGUCGCCCUGUAGUUUGCUUAGUGGCCAUUAGUUUGCUGAUUUAAUGCCGUUGACCACUUCAAGAAAGAGUGGACGUCGUUAAUUUUACCAUUUCAUUUGACAAUGCAUUUCAUUAGGGCUUUUCUUCGGUUUAUCUUUGAGCUGAACUUCCUACUACUAUUAAAUUAAAUUGGAUUCUACGGAAAAGCAAGUGAAUCGCCGUUCCCGUGGUUUUGGGCUAAUAAACACCGCUGUUCACACUUGGCUGACUGCAAAGAGCUCCAGCUUUGAAAUAUGUGGUCUUUCUUUUGUGUAAUUAAAUGCCGGAUUUAAUAAAAUUUGUACCGAAAUACCAA